rnacentral:rRNA from 1 species
GUGCUGAAAGCAUCUAAGCACGAAACUUGCCCCGAGAUGAGUUCUCCCUGAGACCUUGAGUCUCCUGAAGGAACGUUGAAGACGACGACGUUGAUAGGCCGGGUGUGUAAGCGCAUCGAUGCGUUGAGCUAACCGGUACUAAUGAACCGUGAGGCUUAACCUUACAACGCCGAAGGUGUUU